GAUGAACGCUGGCGGCGUGCCUAAUACAUGCAAGUCGAGCGAACAGACGAGGAGCUUUCUCCUCUGACGUUAUCGGCGGACGGGUGAGUAACACGUGGAUAACCCACCUAUAAGACUGGGAUAACUCAGGGAAACCGGAGCUAAUACCGGACAAUAUAUUUAACCGCAUGGUUCAGUAUUGAAAGACGGUUGUGCUGACACGUAUAGAUGGAUUCGCGCCGCAUUAGCUAGUUGGUAAGGUAACGGCUUACGAAGGGGACGAUGAGGAGCCGACUUGAUAGAGUGACCGCCCACACUGGACCUGGAACCCGCCCCGGACUCCUACGGAGGGCGGCGGUAGGGAACCUUCCGCAAUGGGCGAAAGCUUGACGGAGAAACGCGGCGGGAGUGUUGAGGGUCUCCGGAUCGUAAGCUUCUGUUAUUGGGGAGGAACAAAUGUGUAAGAAACGAUGCACGUCUUGACGGUACCGAAACAGAAAGCCACGGCUAACUACGUG
rnacentral:rRNA from 1 species